rnacentral:rRNA from 1 species
CCUACGGGAGGCAGCAGUGGGGAAUAUUGCACAAUGGGCGAAAGCCUGAUGCAGCGACGCCGCGUGAGGGAUGACGGCCUUCGGGUUGUAAACCUCUUUCAGCAGGGAAGAAGCGAAAGUGACGGUACCUGCAGAAGAAGCGCCGGCUAACUACGUGCCAGCAGCCGCGGUAAUACGUAGGGCGCAAGCGUUGUCCGGAAUUAUUGGGCGUAAAGAGCUCGUAGGCGGCUUGUCACGUCGGGUGUGAAAGCCCGGGGCUUAACCCCGGGUCUGCAUUCGAUACGGGCUAGCUAGAGUGUGGUAGGGGAGACUGGAAUUCCUGGUGUAGCGGUGAAAUGCGCAGAUAUCAGGAGGAACACCGGUGGCGAAGGCGGGUCUCUGGGCCAAUACUGACGCUGAGACGCGAGAGCUAGGGGAGCGAACAGGAUUAGAUACCCUGGUAGUCCACGCCGUAAACGAUGAACACUAGGUGUGGGCGGAGUCGAAUCUGUCUGUGCCGAAGCCAACGCGAUAAGUGUUCCGCCUGGGGAGUACGGCCGCAAGGCUAAAACUCAAAAGAAUUGACGGGGGCCCGCACAAGCAGCGGAGCAUGUUCUUUAAUUCGAUGCAACGCGAAGAACCUUACCUGGACUUGACAUGGUGCUGCAAGCGCACGGAAACGUGUGACCUUCGAGGGUGCACCACAGAUGCUGCAUGGCUGUCGUCAGCUCGUGUCGUGAGAUGUUGGGUUAAGUCCCGCAACGAGCGCAACCCCCGUGGCGUGUUGCCAGCAUUAAGUUGGGGACUCACGCCAGACUGCCGGUGACAAACCGGAGGAAGGGUGGGGACGACGUCAAGUCAUCAUGGCUCUACGUCCAGGGCUAGAAACGUGCUACAAUGGCAUGUACAAAGGGUUGCAAGCCGCGAGGUGGAGCGAAUCCCAUCAAAGCAUGUCUAAGUUCCGGAUCGCAGUCUGCACUCGUACUGCGUGAAGGCU